rnacentral:rRNA from 3 species
GUCGACCGCCUGGGGAGUACGGCCGCAAGGUUAAAACUCAAAUGAAUUGACGGGGGCCCGCACAAGCGGUGGAGCAUGUGGUUUAAUUCGAUGCAACGCGAAGAACCUUACCUACUCUUGACAUCCAGAGAACUUAGCAGAGAUGCUUUGGUGCCUUCGGGAACUCUGAGACAGGUGCUGCAUGGCUGUCGUCAGCUCGUGUUGUGAAAUGUUGGGUUAAGUCCCGCAACGAGCGCAACCCUUAUCCUUUGUUGCCAGCGGUCCGGCCGGGAACUCAAAGGAGACUGCCAGUGAUAAACUGGAGGAAGGUGGGGAUGACGUCAAGUCAUCAUGGCCCUUACGAGUAGGGCUACACACGUGCUACAAUGGCAUAUACAAAGAGAAGCGACCUCGCGAGAGCAAGCGGACCUCAUAAAGUAUGUCGUAGUCCGGAUUGGAGUCUGCAACUCGACUCCAUGAAGUCGGAAUCGCUAGUAAUCGUGGAUCAGAAUGCCACGGUGAAUACGUUCCCGGGCCUUGUACACACCGCCCGUCACACCAUGGGAGUGGGUUGCAAAAGAAGUAGGUAGCUUAACCUUCGGGAGGGCGCUUACCACUUUGUGAUUCAUGACUGGGGUGAAGUCGUAACAAGGUAACCGUAGGGGAACCUGCGGUUGGAUCACCUCCUUA